UACGUAGGGUGCAAGCGUUGUCCGGAAUUAUUGGGCGUAAAGAGCUCGUAGGCGGUUCGUCGCGUCGGCUGUGAAAUCCCGAGGCUCAACCUCGGGUCUGCAGUCGAUACGGGCGGACUGGAGUUCGGCAGGGGAGACUGGAAUUCCUGGUGUAGCGGUGAAAUGCGCAGAUAUCAGGAGGAACACCGGUGGGGAAGGCGGGUCUCGGGGCCGAUACUGACGCUGAGGAGCGAAAGCGUGGGGAGCGAACAGG
rnacentral:rRNA from 1 species